CUGCCUGCCAUUCGGUGUCGAACGUUUUCUUUGAGUUCGGUCGGUCUUCUUUGGUCGUAUGUUGGCGUUCGGUAAACCAUCAAGUACAUGCGUCAGCGACACCUACCGAAAGUGGAAGUGAACUGCCGUUUCCUAAAUCACGCCAAAACGUGCUGGAUUGUUGUUCUGAGCUUCAAACGUUACGUAUGAGGAGAGCUCUUCGUCUUGGCUGGUGGCAGAAGCUCUCUCCGCAAACAUAGAAACGGCAAAUCCAACCAAGCGCAGGCAGGCAAGGCAAGGAAGUAGUAACGGCACGAUACAUUCAUCAACUCAACAACACGUUUGGACAAGAAGGGAAGUCGAAGAACACAAAGGAAGGACGGACGGACGGACGGACGGACAGAAACCAUGGCUGACGUUUUCUUCUCUCUCUCUCUUUCUCUUUUUCUUGUUCCUGUGACGCAAAGUGUCGUCCGCAGGUUGCUGUUGUAGAACCAAAGGAGGUAAGGCCUCUCGUUACUCAGUCGAGGGGAAUCUGUGUGUCUGUGUGUGGUGUGUGUGUGCGCGUGGUGGAAAAGCUGCCUUCGAUGGCGUUGGACCCAGUGUACCUGGACUCAGAAAUUCUGCAUACUUCAUCCGAGUCGCGACACGUCGAGCGCAAAGGAUGGGCUCGGCCGGCUUCCCCCCAAAAAAACAAUGGCUCAAGAGUUCUUUCCUGAUAUGGACACAAAACCUGGACGGGCAGGCGGCCAGACGCGCUCCAGCUCGGAGCUCCCUGGAGUUAAAGGUCUUUCGGUGUCAGCGAGGUUCUCCACCCGCAUCACGUGAGCCAAGCAAAGCAGAAAAGCCGGACCCGCCCAAACCCACCUGUAGGCCGAGAGGAUGUUGAGAGGCGGCGGGCGCUCGCAGGCCCGGUAGCUCUCCUGCAUGGGCACGGGCAGCGAGUGGCGCUCAAACAGCUGCUGGUCCUGGACGGUGGAGCUCCUGAAGGCCUUCCUCAUGGUGAUGUCCUGUAGCGACACUGAAGGGGGACACGCGACCUUCCGUCACCAGUCGACACGGAGGAACGGACGACGACGCGGCCGGAGGGAGGCUCGCUCACGUUCUUCCUCUUUGGGGUCCAGCUGCGUGACGCUGAUGGAGAGGCGCUCCACGCGCUCCUGCAGAGAGUUGACCCGGAAGGUGAAGGAGUGCGCCUCGUCAAACAGCUGUCCAAACAGGUCUUCUGCGUAUUUGCCUGAAAAGCAGCAGCAGCAGGAGGACGGACGGUGACAAAGGGCCGGCCGUCGUUUGACGCCACCCGGGUCUACGACUCAUCGGCGGUGUACCGACUGAGGCUGCUGAGCUGCCGGAUGACGCCAGCCAACGAGAUGUUGGUCACGCAUUCCAGCUCGUUGGCGAUGUUCCUCGGCAGCGCCGCGUGGCACAGGUGCCUGGGCUCGAUGGCGCGCUGCACCAGCGGCAUCCUUGCCUGGGGGGAGAACGUCACAACACGUGAGUAGGAGAAGCCUCCCCCAUCCCCCAUCUUAGGCUGGCUGCUCGCUCGACCCCAUCCGUCGUCUCCGGUGGGCAAAUGAAAUCAGCCAGCCCGGGCGUUUGUUCAAGCGGGGAGCCCCCAAAUCCUGACAGGCACAUGUUAUAUGGGGGCCAACAUGUCAAGAGGCUGCUGCCGCUACCGCCGCCGCUGCCGCUGCUUCCCAGAUGUGGAGCACGCUGCAAUGCAACCAUGUUAACAUCAGCGCCAAAAUGAACUUGCCACAAUCACGCUGGCGGGCGCCUUUGUUUGUCUUUUUACGCUUCAAAUGGGAUUGGUGCACCUAUGUGGUAUAGGUAGAGUCGGUCCUAAAGUUACGACGGGCUGGCUGCAAACCGAAGACGCGUCCUAAAAUGUGAGACCAGAGUGGAAAGACACACAAGACAUGCAGGCACUUUGGACGAAUACCUGUUUAGCUUGAGUAAGUCCCUCUUCUUCCUUUACAGACUCCCCUUUUUUAUUUUUUAACGAUCCAUCCUCAUUUGGGGCUCGAGCAUGCCGCCGCGUGCAAGCAUUCGGAUCCCGCCCGGAUUUGGCUCCAUGACCGUCCGGCUCGUAUCAAAUGUGCUCCUUCGUGCAAGAAGAAGCGGAGGAGGGGGAGCCGGCCACUUUUCUUCCAAAGUGGAUUCCUUCGCCGUUGGACCGAGUGAAAUGGGCACCAAAGAGCGUCCGCCAAUCUAUUAUCAACACGAGUGCUAUUAAAACGUUACAUCCGAUUCGUACAAAUGCGCUUGACAAUAGUCCACGCCCCAAAACGGUGCAUGAAUAGCAUUCAUUUGCAGGGGAAUGUCCCCGUGAAAAGUGACCACAGUGGUACGGGCCACUCUAUUGUUAGGACGCCGACCGUGGGUAAACCUGCGCUAGUAUCGACGCGUCACCGAUCGUUUUAUAAUGUGGUGCUUAUUUCAACAUAAAUGACUGGUUUAAUUCAUUGUCAUUUAUCAUGGACAAAAACGUAUCAUGUUUGACGAUGUGGUAAUAAUCCAUUUCAUACGGUGUAAUGUAGGCACUUCAAGAAUAAAAAAUAGUACUACUUUU